rnacentral:lncRNA from 1 species
NNNNNNNNNNNNNNNNNNAGCAGCGCCAGCGAAGCCCCCCGGGACUCCCUGACCAGCCCCGAGGAGGAGGCGUUGGCCGAGGGGGGCGAGGGGGGGGACGAUGGGGGCGACCGGAAAAGCCCCUGGCAGAAGCGGGAGGAGCGGCCGCUGAUGGUCUUCAACGUCAAGUGAGUGGUGGUGGGGGGUCUCCUCUGGUCCUGGGGGUGUCGGGGGAGUUGGGGUGACCCACAAGGGUGUAGGGGUGGUGGGACGGUGGGUGCCCCUCCGUGCCGUCUCCAUCCCUUCCCACCACCACACCAGGCUGUCCUACCACUGUCCCACCCCACCACUGUCAGCUGAACCCACCACCGUCAGGUGAACCCACCACCAUCCUUUUGCCACUGUCCUGUCCCAUCCAGCCACCAUCCCAUCCCACCACUGUCAUCCCAUCCCACCAUUGUCAUCCCACCCAGCCUCCAUCCCAUCCCACCAUUGUCAUCCCAUCCCACCACCAUCCCAUCCCACUGCACCAUCUCAUCCAGCAAGCAUCCCAUCCCACCACUGUCAUCUCAUCCAGCCACCAUCCCAUCCCACCAUUGUCAUCCCAUCCCACCAUUGUCAUCCUACCACCAUCCCACCCAGCCACCAUUCCAUCCCACCAUUGCCGUGCCACCACCAUUGUCAUCCAGCCACCACCGUCAGGUGAACCCACCACCAUCCUUUUGCCACUGUCCUGUCCCAUCCAGCCACCAUCCCAUCCCACCACUGUCAUCCCAUCCCACCAUUGUCAUCCCACCCAGCCUCCAUCCCAUCCCACCAUUGUCAUCCCAUCCCACCACCAUCCCAUCCCACUGCACCAUCUCAUCCAGCAAGCAUCCCAUCCCACCACUGUCAUCUCAUCCAGCCACCAUCCCAUCCCACCAUUGUCAUCCCAUCCCAUCCCACCGCUCAUCCCAGUCCACCACACCAUCGUGUCACUGUUGUGUCUUGCCCCCCCCCCACCCCACCCCACCAUUGUCAUCCUGCCACCAUCCCAUCUCACUGUUGUCAUCCCAUCCCAUCCAGCCACCAUCCCAUCCCACCACUGUCAUCCCAUCCCACCAUUGUCAUCCCAUCCCACCACCAUCCCAUCCCGCUGCACCAUCUCAUCCAGCCACCAUCCCAUCCCACCACCAUCCCAUCAGCUCAUCCCACCGCUCAUCCCAGUCCACCACACCAUCGUGUCACUGUUGUGUCUUGUCACUGGCCUAGCUCAGCCCAGCACCACCCAUCCUGUCCCAUCAUCACCAUCACCCCACCACAAUCCCAUCCCACCACAAUCCCAUCCAGCCACCAUCUCAUCCCACCACCGCUGUCCACCCCAUCCCACCAUCAUCCCAUCCAGCCACUAGCCCAUCUCACCACUGUCCCCCUGUCCUGCCCUUGUCCUCUCCCACCCCUGUCCCAUCCUGCCACCAUUCCAUCCCCUCUCACCCCACCCUGCCCUGUCCCUUGUCCCCGUGCCCCCCCCCAUCACCCAUCC